UGCGCCUACGGGACGCAGCAGUGAGGAAUAUUGGUCAAUGGGCGGAAGCCUGAACCAGCCAAGUCGCGUGAGGGAGUAAGGCCCUACGGGUCGUAAACCUCUUUUGCCGGGGAGCAGUGCCCAGCUCGUGAGCUGGGAGGGAGCGUACCCGGAGAAAAAGCAUCGGCUAACUCCGUGCCAGCAGCCGCGGUAAUACGGAGGAUGCGAGCGUUAUCCGGAUUUAUUGGGUUUAUAGGGUGCGUAGGCGGGCCUUCAUGCCGGCGGUAAAAAUUCCGGGCUCCACCCCCGC
rnacentral:rRNA from 1 species